rnacentral:lncRNA from 1 species
UAAUGAGCGGUGCCAUGUCUGUGCGGAGGAUCCGAACUGGCAAAACCCUGGGCCGCCCAAGCGGAGCAUGGGAACCUAACCACUUGGCAACCGGGCCAGCCCCCUGAGCCUUUGUUUUUACCAAGUUACAUUCAGAGAUCAAACAAGAUGGACUUCACUGGAAAUUGGGACCUCCCAGAGGGUGGCUCACUGAACCCGGCGAGGGCCAUGAAAAUGUGGAAACACAUGUCUGGGGCUGCUGUUCCUGGUCCUUUUAUCAGUAUGGCCUGACUCCUCCAACUGGUUUUUAAAUGCCUUGAGGAGAGGCAGGAUGGCCCAGGCGAAAGGGCACUGGACAGAGUGUAGAGGCCAGAGCUGCCCAGCUGCCUGCGGAAGAAGCUGUGCUGACCAGGAGCAGAGGCCUGAACCUGUCCCUGAGCCUGGUGCUCGCAUGCAGGUCUACACUGAGACCAAGGCCACCCAGUCACUAACGCUCCGCGUUCAGCCAGCGGGACCUCGGAGCGGCUUCUCUAGGAAUCCCGUACUCUGUUUAGGUCCAGCCGGCGCCGCCGCCCCCAACCCCCACCCCGCUGCCCACCGGCUUCUGACCACUAUCUCCUUCUCCCCUUUCAUCCUCCAGGCCCACAGGACUCCCCACCCCAACUCUCCUGCCUCAGCAUCACCCAUCCUUUUUCUUCCUGCUGAUCCAGCGAGCCGGGCUUUCUCCUUCUCUGGUCUCUCCUCCUCUCCCCCUUGAAUCCA